rnacentral:misc_RNA from 1 species
AAAGGAUCUAAUGCUAGUGGGUCAAUGCCUGCAGCAGUUUCCUGCCAGGCAGAAAAUUGCACCGUUGAUAUGACCGAUGCUAAGCGAUAUCAUAGACGCCAUAAAGUGUGCGAGUUCCAUGCCAAGGCUCCCUUUGUCCUUGUUGCUGGAAUCCAGCAACGCUUCUGUCAGCAAUGUAGCAGGUUCCACGAGUUAUCAGAAUUUGAUGACAACAAAAGAAGUUGCCGGAGUCGUUUGAGAGGACACAAUGAGAGGCGCAGAAAAAGCUCAUCUGAUUAUCAUUGAGAAGGCUCAUAUUGACAAAAAGCUUGCUACUCACAGAAGACGUAUAGGCUUCAAAAAGAUGGAGAAAAUUAGAUCAUUUCCUAAUAAAAUUGCCUCUUCCAAGCAUAUUUAGACCGGUUAUAGAUCUAAAUAUGUGUCAUCUCUAGCAAAUGUUGAUGCUCUCUCUCUUCUGUCAAUUUAAUAA